rnacentral:rRNA from 1 species
UAAUACAUGCAAGUCGAGCGCACCUUCGGGUGAGCGGCGGACGGGUGAGUAACGCGUGGGAACGUGCCCUUUGGUACGGGAUAACUGAGGGAAACUUCAGCUAAUACCGUAUGUGCCCUACGGGGGAAAGAUUUAUCGCCAUUGGAGCGGCCCGCGUUGGAUUAGGUAGUUGGUGGGGUAAAGGCCCACCAAGCCGACGAUCCAUAGCUGGUCUGAGAGGAUGAUCAGCCACACUGGGACUGAGACACGGCCCAGACUCCUACGGGAGGCAGCAGUAGGGAAUCUUGCGCAAUGGGCGAAAGCCUGACGCAGCCAUGCCGCGUGAAUGAUGAAGGUCUUAGGAUUGUAAAAUUCUUUCACCGGGGAAGAUAAUGACGGUACCCGGAGAAGAAGCCCCGGCUAACUUCGUGCCAGCAGCCGCGGUAAUACGAAGGGGGCUAGCGUUGCUCGGAAUUACUGGGCGUAAAGGGCGCGUAGGCGGAUGUUUAAGUCGGGGGUGAAAGCCCGGGGCUCAACCUCGGAAUUGCCUUCGAUACUGGACAUCUUGAGUACGGGAGAGGUGAGUGGAACUCCGAGUGUAGAGGUGAAAUUCGUAGAUAUUCGGAAGAACACCAGUGGCGAAGGCGACUCACUGGC